UCUUGGUCAUUUAGAGGAAGUAAAAGUCGUAACAAGGUCUCCGUUGGUGAACCAGCGGAGGGAUCAUUAUCGAGUUAUUCAACUCCCAAACCCUAUGUGAACUUACCACUUGUUGCUUCGGCGCGCGCUUCGGCGCCGCCGAGGACACUUAAACUCUUUGUUUUUAUAAGCAUUUCUGAGUGGCCGAAAGGCAAAAAUACAAAUGAAUCAAAACUUUCAACAACGGAUCUCUUGGUUCUGGCAUCGAUGAAGAACGCAGCGAAAUGCGAUAAGUAAUGUGAAUUGCAGAAUUCAGUGAAUCAUCGAAUCUUUGAACGCACAUUGCGCCCGCCAGCAUUCUGGCGGGCAUGCCUGUUCGAGCGUCAUUUCAACCCUCGAGCCCGACUCUUUUGAGGACGGCUCGGCGUUGGGGGACGGCAGACUCCCCCCGGCAUCUCGCCGGGGACGCCGCCCCCGAAAUCUAGUGGCGGCCCUCCGAGGCGACCUCUGCGUAGUAACUUGUUCUCGCACCGGAAAGCUCAGAGCGGCCACGCCGUAAAACCCCAACUUUUUUCAGGUUGACCUCGAAUCAGGU
rnacentral:rRNA from 1 species